rnacentral:rRNA from 1 species
CACGUAGGGUGCGAGCGUUGUCCGGAAUUAUUGGGCGUAAAGAGCUCGUAGGCGGUGUGUCGCGUCGGCCGUGAAAACCUGCAGCUUAACUGUGGGCUUGCGGUCGAUACGGGCAUCACUGGAGUUCGGCAGGGGAGACUGGAAUUCCUGGUGUAGCGGUGAAAUGCGCAGAUAUCAGGAGGAACACCGGUGGCGAAGGCGGCUAUCUGGACCGACAUUGACGCUGAGGCGCGAAAGCGUGGGGAGCAAACAGG